ensembl:lncRNA
AUCUACCUCACAGGGUCGUUGGGAAUAACUAGAGCUAAAACGGGAACUCAUAAAGCCUAGCACAUCAUGAAUACUAAACAAAUGGUGAUACCGUUAUACGAAGAGAAGAAAAGCCAAGUGGGAUACCAGAAACAUCCUUAAGGAAGAGGAGAUUUCCAAACAUUCUCUGUUCAUUUCACACCAGUCAACGUCUGACAACGUCCAGCCAGAGUAGAAGGCACCAGCUGAAUUCACUCACUCCAUCCAGCUAGAGUGGGAAGACACUGAAGGACAUCCAUGGAAUUAAUCUUAAAAGAAAGCAGACAGCAUGGAGUUAGUUUAUAGCCACUUCAUCAGAGCUUGGGCAGCUGGAUUCCAGGCCUAAAGACUCAGCCUCCUUAAUGCUAAACAGCGUCACAGAAAGGCAAAGGAGAUACUGUUAACGAAAAGAAGGAAGGAAGAUUGGAAGAAAGGAAGGAGGGAAGGGAGAAAAAAGGAAGAAAAGGAAAAAACCUUGCAACACAAACCCCAAUCGCUUCAAGAUUUACUGUGAUUCCAUUUUCAUUUUCUAAUCUCAUUGCCUAAGCCCUAAAUCACCACACUUUGGUUUCAGUGCAAAGAAAAAAACGUUUGCAGUUCUCUCCUACCCCAUGCCUAUCAGAGUACGUCUUAUACAAAGAGAAGGCAAGAGGGUCUGGGGGACCGAGGAUAUCAAGUCCCUACAAAAGCUCCCAGCCCUCACGCCCGUGCUCUUGCUCCCGGUCUGAUGUCUCCAUGACUCAGGGCUCUGCAGCAAUGGCCCCCUACCCACGGAUGCCAGAGCAACUUUUACCAGUGUCCCUCUUUGGAUGACCAUUCCACAUUCUUUCAAAGAGGAUCCCAUCUAUUUCCACCCCAACCUAACUCACACCCUGCAAAAGCAUUAACACCAUGAAGAAUGACCUCUUUUAGCAAAAGCGAGGAAGAAUUCAGGCUCAGAACUGAAGAAGCCUAAGUUUUCGCUUCAACUUUCUCACUUACUUGUGUACCCUUGGCCAGGUUUCCUCGGCCAAGCAGAAUCUUGUCCAAUGAUGACCUUACAUUGUACAUCACACCAGGCUUCCAUGAGGACUCAUAUCAUUUACUUAAAAUGUCUAGCAUAGUACUUGGAGCAUAGUAAGUGCACAGUAGACAAUUGUUUUUAUGACCUGGCCAUUAAAAUUUACAGACCAUAUGCAUUUCCUAAAAUUCCAGUUUUUGCAACUC